UUUUAAUAAAAGAGGCAGUAGCCUAUUUUGUUAAAAAGGGUCCCAAGUUCUCAAGGUUUUCUCCUAUUUUUCUUGGAAAAUUCUUGAUCUACGAAAAUCUAACGGUUCAAAUUCAAAUUCAAUUUCGGAAACGUGAUCUACGAAGCCCGAUCUACGUUUCUACCGAUCGUUUUGAGGAUAGUGUCUUGAUUGGAGAUUUCAAUUGAUUCUCCAAUGUAGAGUCCAAGUGACUAGAAUCCGAGGGGAUGUUCAAGUCAAGAGUCCAAUGCAGCCAGAUGAUAUUCCUCUGGCUGCAGGUACUCCGGUCAUAGUGAUGGUGUUAUAGAUGUGCAAGUGGGAUAUUAUGACCGAAGCUCGCCGUGACGGUCUUAAUUGCAGGACCACGGGUGUCUUCAGUUUUAUAGGUUUUGUUAUGGCUUGUGAUGCUUGUGUCACCUAAUCUAUGUCAAGCCAUUUAUGUUAUGUAUUUAUUAUAUUGAAGAAAGACUUAAACAGAUAGAUGUUAAAUGGCUCUUGUUGUAAUUAAUUGGUGAUAGAUGUUUGAUAUAUGAUUUCCGCUAUUAGAUUUAUGUUCUC